rnacentral:misc_RNA from 1 species
UGGUUCUGGCAUCGAUGAAGAACGCAGCGAAAUGCGAUAAGUAAUGUGAAUUGCAGAAUUUUUGUGAAUCAUCGAAUCUUUGAACGCACAUUGCACCUUUUGGUAUUCCGAGAGGUAUGCUUGUUCGAGCGUCGUUUAAAAUCUAUCAACAGAAUUUUUGUUGAAUGUAUUGAAGGAUUUUUUGGUUAUACAAAAAACUUUCCAAAAGAAUAGCAGCGAUUUUGACUGAUUAUUAUUGAACGCAUCAAGUUUUACUAGAAUACGUUCAAGAAAAUCAGGAGGAGAAAUCAGCCAGAAAACCCACCUUUUAUAAUAUCGACCUCGGAUCAAGUAGGGCUACCCGCUGA